CACGUAGGGCGCAAGCGUUGUCCGGAAUUAUUGGGCGUAAAGAGCUCGUAGGUGGUUUGUUACGUCUGCUGUGAAAACCUAGGGCUUAACCCUGGGCUUGCAGUGGAUACGGGCAGACUAGAGGUAGGUAGGGGAGACUGGAAUUCCUGGUGUAGCGGUGAAAUGCGCAGAUAUCAGGAGGAACACCGGUGGCGAAGGCGGGUCUCUGGGCCGAAACUGACGCUGAGGAGCGAAAGCGUGGGGAGCAAACAGG
rnacentral:rRNA from 1 species